GGUUGAGACGAUACCUAGUCCAAAGUAUAAAAAACUGUGGAAAACGGUCAGCCGGUCAUGGCUCGGGAGUCGUGCAUCACUAUUCAACCCCCCUGUUAAUUCUUCAUUUUAUUUCAUUUUUGGUCUUCUCGAGUUAAACCCUAGUUUGAUUUUCUGUUGCACUACCAGAAAUUCGCAGCUGAAGGUACACCACAAUGUCAAGUCUUCCUGAAGAGAUGUACCUCGACAUUCUUCUGAGGGUACCAGUGAAAUCAACAUUCGUCUGUAAGUGUGUUUGUAAAUCUUGGUUUCAAAUAAUUUCUAAUCCUAUUUUUGUUAAAUCCCAUCUUAAUCUUACCACACAAAGAAACAAUCACAGUCUAUUGAUUCAGAGUACUAUUUAAGAUUUGAUUCAUUAUCAUCGUCAAAUGAUGCCGAUGCUGCUGCUAUUGUUAGACUUACUAAAUUGUUGGGUUCAUGUGAUGGAUUAGUAUAUGGAUGGAUUCAUAUUUUCUGUGGAACCCAGCCACAAGUGAGUAUAAGGAAUUACCCAAAUCACCUGAUAAAUAUUAUAUGUGCAAAGGUGGUAACUAUGGUUUUGGUUAUGAUUAUAAGACCGAUGAUUACAAGUUGGUCAAUUUUGAUAUAAGGAAGGGGAGUACUUUAGUCGUAGUCUAUUCUUUAGAAUCAAACUCAUGGAAAAGCUUUGUAUCCAUUCAGUAUGAUUUUCCUUAUGUUGAUAUGGUUGGCGUGCCUUUCAAUGGAGCACUUCAUUGGUUCGGGAGUAUAAUAGGUAAACCAAACUCCACAGUGAUAGUCACAAUCGAUUUUAGUGAAGAAAAAUUUGAAGAACUGCAACUACCAAUGACACUACCAACGGAUCAACAUUAUAUGAAUAUGGGAGUGUUGGAAGAGUGCCUUUGUGUACUUGCUAAAUUAAAAGGGACGUUUGAAGUAUGGGUAAUGUCAGAUUAUGGAGUUCCAGAAUCUUGAACUAAACAUUUGAGAGGAUAAUGGGUUAUCCCUAUCUGGAGCUUAUCGGGUCUUUUAGGAACGGUGAGAUUCUGUUCAGGAACACAGACGAUCUAUUAAUCUCAUAUAGCUCAAUGUGUGGAACUGCUAGAAAAACAGAAAUUGAUUACCUACACAAGGGAGGAGCAGUGAAAUAUUUUGAAAGCUUAGUUUCUCUAAACUCAAAUACUGUUGUAGAAAGAAAGAGAAAGAGAGAUAUCACUUAUGUCUUGAUGAAGACUAAGAUGCUAAACAUGAGGCUCAGAAAGUCUUCUUGGUAUUGAGGCGAUCAGAUGAGACGAAGAACUGGAUUGGAGAAUGCACCAAUCUCAGAGGCUAACAAAUAUGGUGAUGUGUUCUCUCACUGAAAUAGCUUCAUAGAUAUGCUUUGGAUAUUACAUUUAUGUUUAGACAAGUUAAUAUCUUAUCUUCUGGAUAUAUUAAACAUGAACGCAACAUCAUGUGAGAUGUAUUUUCAUUCAGCUCUCUAUAUAAGUUGGUCUCUAGUAGUCUAGUGGUAUGAUUCUGAGUUAGAAACAGUUUCGAUUCAGCAAUACUAGUUAAAUCUAGUCAUUAUGUUGCAGCCGUCAUUUUGAGCUAAUGCUAUUUAUGCCUUUACCGGGAAAAAUGAAAAGAGAGAAAAUUGUGUAGUUCUAAUGAACUGUUUUUCUUUCCGUUUCUUGUUUUAUUGUUCAAUAUUUUACAACUUCCUAUUGAAAGUGAACCUUCUGUUUUGUUUCCUGUCUAGCAUCUGCCACAAUACACUGUCAGAGUUCCAUUACGAUUGUUAUUUUGCUUUCAUGAUCUCCUUUUCCUUUUCUUGUUUUGCUUCUGUGCAAUGUUAAUAGUUCCCAACACGAGUUCCACCAAGUUUGAUGCAUGUUAUGACUAUAAUUUUUCCCCACCGAGUUCUUUGAUAUUGUAAGUUACUGUUACCAAGCCAAAAAAUAUAGAGCUUGCCUUACUUCACAGGGCUAUAUGCUGUGGGAGUGGUUCUUUACUGUGUCUUUCUUAUUUUAAAUCAAGAGUUCUGUCUCUUGAAACUAGAUCCUAUUCAAGUAAGAUUACAUUUUCUUGGAUGCGUUUAAGCAUGUGCUGCAAGGGUAAGUGCUCUAAAAUUGGGUGUACAAGAUCCUUAAAGCGAGUUAUGUUCUAUUUCUAUCAUCUCUUUACCGUCCCUUCUAUGCGUAAUAUUUUAUGUAGACUGCAAAUGGGAAAUUCGGGGGAAAUUUUUUUCCACCCUCCAUGGUGCUUCUCUCACUAAUCAUGUUAUAACUAUAAGAUCUUUCAUAUCUGAAAGGUCGAUAUUAUUUUCAACACAAAGGACAAUGAUGGUUGAUUGAUGCUGUUUUGGGAGCUGAACUGAAUUGCCAUGGGCGUAUGGGUGUUCUUGACUAAACGACCUGUUAGGUUCAGAGUCAUGAUGGCUAGUAGGAGUGCUAUUGUAGAUCCAGUCUCGUUUAAUAUCCAGAAUUCUUCGAAUGUCACCUAAGAUAUUGAGCCACUUUCUUUGUUCGGUCAAGUUGCAUUGGGAAAAAUUGUUCAAAGUGCUAUUGUAACACAGUGUGGUUCAGCCCUAAAAUAGGAAAAAUUGUUCUGUUUUUUUUCUCUCCUAAACUUCGCAAACUAGAAACUAUAACAGAAGAAGAAGAGGAAUCUGUAGAGGCACGACAUGGACAGGGAAAAAGUUGCAGUUGCAAAGAAUAGAACUAGACUACCAAUUCUCGAUGUAUUCACAGUUCGAAAGCGUACAACUAGACCACCUUCACCAAAAGCAAUUGUUGAACCAACUUCAAGUGCUGCUGCUACUGGAAGAAGAAGUGCUGCUGCAACUUCAAGUGCACCAGCUAGUGGAAGAGGGUCUAGGAGUGGUGCUGCUGCUAGAGGAAGAGGGUAUAGUGUUGCUGCUGCUGGAGGCCAUGGUCCGCACUGCAACUACAACAACUGGUACAAGUGGUGGUUCCGCAACUACAGGAAGGGGUUGUGCUGCAACAAUUUCACCCAACUUCAAAGUUUAUGUUUUGAGAAAUGAGGCAACAGUUGAUGCCGCAGAAAAAUGUAUCGAAACUACAGAUUUAAUUCCGAGAGCUACUAGUUUAUCACCCAACUCCUUCCUCCUUGAUGCAGUUCAGCAGAAAUUUCUUUAAUCUAAUUAGUCAGUAUUUACCUGCAACUUGUCUACUGUUUUAAGCGGCUCACUGGAAGUGCUGAUGUUGGCACGGGAUCUCAUUUACAGCUAGUGGAAAACCACAGCAUUUCGCAUAAUCCACUCACAAAGUUGGGAAGUUCAGAACUACAACUGGUGAAAUCAUUUAGUAAGAAGACUACAAAUCAUCCCCACUCCGACUCCAUCUACGCAGCUUUCCCUUUUUCUUAUUCUUGUCAAACCGUAUAAUAUGUUGCUAGCUUAGGCUUUUGAUAUUGUAGGGGCAAUUGAACUGGGAGUGCACGAGGAAGCAUUUUUGCUGGCAAAGAAAGAAGUUGGAAUUUUCUUAAGUAA